rnacentral:rRNA from 1 species
UACAGAGGAUGCAAGCGUUAUCCGGAAUGAUUGGGCGUAAAGCGUCUGUAGGUGGCUUUUUAAGUCCGCCGUCAAAUCCCAGGGCUCAACUCUGGACAGGCGGUGGAAACUACCAAGCUGGAGUACGGUAGGGGCAGAGGGAAUUUCCGGUGGAGCGGUGAAAUGCGUAGAUAUCUGGAGGAACACCGGUGGCGAAGGCGGCAUUCUGGACCAUAACUGACACUGAGAGACGAAAGCCAGGGGAGCAAACGGG